AAACUUAAUAUCUGCCGCUUAUAUAUCAUUUGAAAUAUGGUCAAAAAGUCUCUACCGGGUCGCCGUAAACAGCCCGACUAUAAGCAGUGUUUUG
rnacentral:ncRNA from 1 species